GGCGAAGAUGUAACGGGGCUCAAGCCACGAGCCGAAGCUUUGGGUGUGCAUUUAUGCACGCGGUAGCGGAGCGUUCUGUGAUAUAGAACGCUGCCUCUUCUAUCCUUCGGGAUAGCGGAGGCAAUGUUCUGACUGUGAAGCCGGGCUGUAAGGCAUCCGGUGGAGUGAUCAGAAGCGAGAAUGUUGACAUGAGUAGCGACAAACAGGGUGAGAGACCCUGUCGCCGAAAGUCCAAGGGUUCCUGCUUAAAGCUAAUCUGAGCAGGGUAAGCCGGCCCCUAAGGCGAGGCCGAAAGGCGUAGUCGAUGGGAACCAGGUUAAUAUUCCUGGGCCAGGAGAUGGUGACGGAUCGCAGAGCUAGUUCUUCCUUAUCGGAUUGGAAGGGCUGGUGAGCGGUUCCUGGAAAUAGCCCUCCACAAGACCGUACCCUAAACCGACACAGGUGGACUGGUAGAGAAUACCAAGGCGCUUGAGAGAACCACAUUUAAGGAACUCGGCAAAAUACCUCCGUAAGUUCGCGAGAAGGAGGCCCGGUUGCUGCGCAAGCAGUGGCUGGGGGCACAAACCAGGGGGUGGCGACUGUUUACUAAAAACACAGGGCUCUGCGAAGCCGUAAGGCGACGUAUAGGGUCUGACGCCUGCCCGGUGCCGGAAGGUUAAAAGGAGAGGUGCAAGCCUUGAAUUGAAGCCCCGGUAAACGGCGGCCGUAACUAUAACGGUCCUAAGGUAGCGAAAUUCCUUGUCGGGUAAGUUCCGACCUGCACGAAUGGCGUAACGACUUCCCCGCUGUCUCAAAUGUGGACUCAGCGAAAUUGAAUUGUCUGUGAAGAUGCAGACUUCCCGCGGUUAGACGGAAAGACCCCAUGCACCUUUACUAUAGCUUCGCACUGGCAUCAGGAUUGUGAUGUGCAGGAUAGGUGGUAGGCAUUGAAACCGGGACGCCAGUUCCGGUGGAGCCAUCCUUGAGAUACCACCCUUCGCACUCUUGAUGUCUAACCGCGGCCCGUUAUCCGGGUCCGGGACCCUGCGUGGUGGGUAGUUUGACUGGGGCGGUCGCCUCCCAAAGAGUAACGGAGGCGCGCGAAGGUUGGCUCAGAGCGGUCGGAAAUCGCUCGUUGAGUGCAAUGGCAGAAGCCAGCCUGACUGCAAGACUGACAAGUCGAGCAGAGACGAAAGUCGGCCAUAGUGAUCCGGUGGUCCCGAGUGGAAGGGCCAUCGCUCAACGGAUAAAAGGUACGCUGGGGAUAACAGGCUGAUGAUGCCCAAGAGUCCAUAUCGACGGCAUCGUUUGGCACCUCGAUGUCGGCUCAUCUCAUCCUGGGGCUGGAGCAGGUCCCAAGGGUAUGGCUGUUCGCCAUUUAAAGAGGUACGUGAGCUGGGUUUAGAACGUCGUGAGACAGUUCGGUCCCUAUCUGCCGUGGGUGUAGGAUACUUGAGAGGAGUUGCCCCUAGUACGAGAGGACCGGGGUGAACGUUCCACUGGUGGACCAGUUGUCGUGCCAACGGCAGUGCUGGGUAGCUAUGAACGGACAGGAUAAACGCUGAAGGCAUCUAAGCGUGAAGCCCCCCUCAAAACAAGGUAUCCCUUGAGAGCCGUGGAAGACCACCACGUCGAUAGGCCGGAGAUGUAAGCGCAGCAAUGCGUUCAGUUGACCGGUACUAAUGGCUCGAUUGGCUUGAUU
rnacentral:rRNA from 2 species